rnacentral:rRNA from 1 species
CAGUAGCCGCGGGAAUACGUAGGUCCCGGGCGUUGUCCGGAUUUAUUGGGCGUAAAGCGAGCGCAGGCGGUUAGAUAAGUCUGAAGUUAAAGGCUGUGGCUUAACCAUAGUACGCUUUGGAAACUGUUUAACUUGAGUGCAAGAGGGGAGAGUGGAAUUCCAUGUGUAGCGGUGAAAUGCGUAGAUAUAUGGAGGAACACCGGUGGCGAAAGCGGCUCUCUGGCUUGUAACUGACGCUGAGGCUCGAAAGCGUGGGGAGCAAACAGGAUUAGAUACCCGUGUAGUCCCUGCCUCUUAUACA